rnacentral:rRNA from 1 species
CGGGCCUAAUACAUGCAAGUCGAACGAACUCUGGUAUUGAUUGGUGCUUGCAUCAUGAUUUACAUUUGAGUGAGUGGCGAACUGGUGAGUAACACGUGGGAAACCUGCCCAGAAGCGGGGGAUAACACCUGGAAACAGAUGCUAAUACCGCAUAACAACUUGGACCGCAUGGUCCGAGUUUGAAAGAUGGCUUCGGCUAUCACUUUUGGAUGGUCCCGCGGCGUAUUAGCUAGAUGGUGGGGUAACGGCUCACCAUGGCAAUGAUACGUAGCCGACCUGAGAGGGUAAUCGGCCACAUUGGGACUGAGACACGGCCCAAACUCCUACGGGAGGCAGCAGUAGGGAAUCUUCCACAAUGGACGAAAGUCUGAUGGAGCAACGCCGCGUGAGUGAAGAAGGGUUUCGGCUCGUAAAACUCUGUUGUUAAAGAAGAACAUAUCUGAGAGUAACUGUUCAGGUAUUGACGGUAUUUAACCAGAAAGCCACGGCUAACUACGUGCCAGCAGCCGCGGUAAUACGUAGGUGGCAAGCGUUGUCCGGAUUUAUUGGGCGUAAAGCGAGCGCAGGCGGUUUUUUAAGUCUGAUGUGAAAGCCUUCGGCUCAACCGAAGAAGUGCAUCGGAAACUGGGAAACUUGAGUGCAGAAGAGGACAGUGGAACUCCAUGUGUAGCGGUGAAAUGCGUAGAUAUAUGGAAGAACACCAGUGGCGAAGGCGGCUGUCUGGUCUGUAACUGACGCUGAGGCUCGAAAGUAUGGGUAGCAAACAGGAUUAGAUACCCUGGUAGUCCAUACCGUAAACGAUGAAUGCUAAGUGUUGGAGGGUUUCCGCCCUUCAGUGCUGCAGCUAACGCAUUAAGCAUUCCGCCUGGGGAGUACGGCCGCAAGGCUGAAACUCAAAGGAAUUGACGGGGGCCCGCACAAGCGGUGGAGCAUGUGGUUUAAUUCGAAGCUACGCGAAGAACCUUACCAGGUCUUGACAUACUAUGCAAAUCUAAGAGAUUAGACGUUCCCUUCGGGGACAUGGAUACAGGUGGUGCAUGGUUGUCGUCAGCUCGUGUCGUGAGAUGUUGGGUUAAGUCCCGCAACGAGCGCAACCCUUAUUAUCAGUUGCCAGCAUUAAGUUGGGCACUCUGGUGAGACUGCCGGUGACAAACCGGAGGAAGGUGGGGAUGACGUCAAAUCAUCAUGCCCCUUAUGACCUGGGCUACACACGUGCUACAAUGGAUGGUACAACGAGUUGCGAACUCGCGAGAGUAAGCUAAUCUCUUAAAGCCAUUCUCAGUUCGGAUUGUAGGCUGCAACUCGCCUACAUGAAGUCGGAAUCGCUAGUAAUCGCGGAUCAGCAUGCCGCGGUGAAUACGUUCCCGGGCCUUGUACACACCGCCCGUCACACCAUGAGAGUUUGUAACACCCAAAGUCGGUGGGGUAACCUUUUAGGAACCAGCCGCCUAAGG